GAUGAACGCUGGCGGCGUGCCUAAUACAUGCAAGUCGAGCGAACAGACGAGGAGCUUGCUCCUCUGACGUUAGCGGCGGACGGGUGAGUAACACGUGGAUAACCUACCUAUAAGACUGGGAUAACUUCGGGAAACCGGAGCUAAUACCGGAUAACAUGUUGAACCGCCUGGUUCAACAGUGAAAGACGGUUUUGCUGUCACUUAUAGAUGGAUCCGCGUCGCAUUAGCUAGUUGGUAAGGUAACGGCUUACCAAGGCAACGAUGCGUAGCCGACCUGAGAGGGUGAUCGGCCACACUGGAACUGAGACACGGUCCAGACUCCUACGGGAGGCAGCAGUAGGGAAUCUUCCGCAAUGGGCGAAAGCCUGACGGAGCAACGCCGCGUGAGUGAAGAAGGUCUUCGGAUCGUAAAACUCUGUUAUUAGGGAAGAACAAAUGUGUAAGUAACUAUGCACGUCUUGACGGUACCUAAUCAGAAAGCCACGGCUAACUACGUG
rnacentral:rRNA from 1 species